UGCUUCCGCUAAACCUAAUUGUCUCCUUUGUUCAUCUGAUUUUGACUUCGGUGGCCAGGAUGACGAUCCAUUGUUCUCUAUCUCCUGUAACGGAACUCGACUUUAAUGGCAGUAAUACAGACGCCCAGUACGAGCCAUUCAAUGCGUCGUUUCCGGCAAAAUCUCUGCUAUAAAUAGGCGGUGAAACUUGAGUAUAAAAAGGUUGAAGUUAAGAAAGACAAUAUGCUGGAGUCCUCAAAGGAUCUCUUCUUUCUAACUUCAUCAUAGAGGCUGCCGUAUUUGAUACUACAAGCUGGUACAAAUCUGUAGGAUUUAGUUAUGAACUUUCUCCCAAGGUGGCUAAUU